UACGGGGGGGGCAAGCGUUGUUCGGAAUUACUGGGCGUAAAGGGCGCGUAGGCGGUGCUCUAAGUCGGAUGUGAAAACUCUGGGCUCAACCCAGAGCCUGCAUCCGAAACUGGAGUGCUAGAGUUCUGGAGGGGGUAGCGGAAUUCCUGGUGUAGCGGUGAAAUGCGUAGAUAUCAGGAGGAACACCAGUGGCGAAGGCGCCGCUCUGGGCCGAGACUGACGCUGAGGAGCGAAAGCGUGGGUAGCAAACAGG
rnacentral:rRNA from 1 species